GAUGAACGCUAGCGGCAGGCCUAACACAUGCAAGUCGAGGGGUAGAGUUAGCUUGCUAACUUGAGACCGGCGCACGGGUGCGUAACGCGUAUGCAAUCUGCCUUGUACUGAGGGAUAGCCCAGAGAAAUUUGGAUUAAUACCUCAUAGUAUUAUUGAAUGGCAUCAUUUGAUAAUUAAAGUUCCAACGGUACAAGAUGAGCAUGCGUCCCAUUAGUUAGUUGGUAAGGUAACGGCUUACCAAGACGAUGAUGGGUAGGGGUCCUGAGAGGGAGAUCCACCACACUGGGACUGAGACACGGACCAGACUCAUACGGGAGGCAGCAGUGAGGAAUAUUGGUCAAUGGGCGCAAGCCUGAACCAGCCAUGCCGCGUGCAGGAUGAAGCAUCUAUGGUGUGUAAACUGCUUUUAUACGGGAAGAAACACUCCUACGUGUAGGAACUUGACGGUACCGUAAGAAUAAGGAUCGGCUAACUCCGUGCCAGCCGCCGCCGUAUAC
rnacentral:rRNA from 1 species